UACGUAGGGUGCAAGCGUUAAUCGGAAUUACUGGGCGUAAAGCGUGCGCAGGCGGUGAUGUAAGACAGGUGUGAAAUCCCCGGGCUUAACCUGGGAAUGGCAUUCGGGACUGCAAGGCUGGAGUGCGGCAGAGGAGACUGGAAUUCCUGGUGUAGCAGUGAAAUGCGUAGAUAUCAGGAGGAACACCGAUGGCGAAGGCAGGUCUCUGGGCUGACACUGACGCUCAUGCACGAAAGCGUGGGGAGCAAACAGG
rnacentral:rRNA from 1 species